rnacentral:rRNA from 1 species
AGGAUGAACGCUGGCGGCGUGCCUAAUACAUGCAAGUCGAGCGGUAAGGCCACUUCGGUGGUACACGAGCGGCGGACGGCUGAGUAACACGUAGGAACGUACCCCAAAGUGAGGCAUAAGCACCAGAAAUGGUGUCUAAUACCGCAUGUGGCCUAACAGGCUAAAGCUCCGGCGCUUUGGGAACGGCCUGCGUAUGAUUAGCUUGUUGGUGAGGUAAAAGCUCACCAAGGCAGUGAUCAUUAGCUGGUCUGAGAGGAUGACCAGCCAGACUGGGACUGAGAACGGCCCAGACUCCUACGGAGGCAGCAGUAGGGAAUUUUCCACAAUGGGCGAAAGCCUGAUGGAGCAACGCCGCGUGCAGGAUGAAGGCUCUAGGGUCGUAAACUGCUUUUAUCUGUGACGAAUAUGACGGUAGCAGAUGAAUAAGGAUCGGCUAACUCCGUGCCAGCAGCCG